GGGUUGUGAGGUUAAGCGACUAAGCGUACACGGUGGAUGCCCUGGCAGUCAGAGGCGAUGAAGGACGUGCUAAUCUGCGAUAAGCGUCGGUAAGGUGAUAUGAACCGUUAUAACCGGCGAUUUCCGAAUGGGGAAACCCAGUGUGUUUCGACACACUAUCAUUAACUGAAUCCAUAGGUUAAUGAGGCGAACCGGGGGAACUGAAACAUCUAAGUACCCCGAGGAAAAGAAAUCAACCGAGAUUCCCCCAGUAGCGGCGAGCGAACGGGGAGCAGCCCAGAGCCUGAAUCAGUGUGUGUGUUAGUGGAAGCGUCUGGAAAGGCGCGCGAUACAGGGUGACAGCCCCGUACACAAAAAUGCACAUGCUGUGAGCUCGAUGAGUAGGGCGGGACACGUGGUAUCCUGUCUGAAUAUGGGGGGACCAUCCUCCAAGGCUAAAUACUCCUGACUGACCGAUAGUGAACCAGUACCGUGAGGGAAAGGCGAAAAGAACCCCGGCGAGGGGAGUGAAAAAGAACCUGAAACCGUGUACGUACAAGCAGUGGGAGCACGCUUAGGCGUGUGACUGCGUACCUUUUGUAUAAUGGGUCAGCGACUUAUAUUCUGUAGCAAGGUUAACCGAAUAGGGGAGCCGAAGGGAAACCGAGUCUUAACUGGGCGUUAAGUUGCAGGGUAUAGACCCGAAACCCGGUGAUCUAGCCAUGGGCAGGUUGAAGGUUGGAUAACACUAACUGGAGGACCGAACCGACUAAUGUUGAAAAAUUAGCGGAUGACUUGUGGCUGGGGGUGAAAGGCCAAUCAAACCGGGAGAUAGCUGGUUCUCCCCGAAAGCUAUUUAGGUAGCGCCUCGUGAAUUCAUCUCCGGGGGUAGAGCACUGUUUCGGCAAGGGGGUCAUCCCGACUUACCAACCCGAUGCAAACUGCGAAUACCGGAGAAUGUUAUCACGGGAGACACACGGCGGGUGCUAACGUCCGUCGUGAAGAGGGAAACAACCCAGACCGCCAGCUAAGGUCCCAAAGUCAUGGUUAAGUGGGAAACGAUGUGGGAAGGCCCAGACAGCCAGGAUGUUGGCUUAGAAGCAGCCAUCAUUUAAAGAAAGCGUAAUAGCUCACUGGUCGAGUCGGCCUGCGCGGAAGAUGUAACGGGGCUAAACCAUGCACCGAAGCUGCGGCAGCGACGCUGAUGCGUUGUUGGGUAGGGGAGCGUUCUGUAAGCCUGCGAAGGUGUGCUGUGAGGCAUGCUGGAGGUAUCAGAAGUGCGAAUGCUGACAUAAGUAACGAUAAAGCGGGUGAAAAGCCCGCUCGCCGGAAGACCAAGGGUUCCUGUCCAACGUUAAUCGGGGCAGGGUGAGUCGACCCCUAAGGCGAGGCCGAAAGGCGUAGUCGAUGGGAAACAGGUUAAUAUUCCUGUACUUGGUGUUACUGCGAAGGGGGGACGGAGAAGGCUAUGUUGGCCGGGCGACGGUUGUCCCGGUUUAAGCGUGUAGGCUGGUUUUCCAGGCAAAUCCGGAAAAUCAAGGCUGAGGCGUGAUGACGAGGCACUACGGUGCUGAAGCAACAAAUGCCCUGCUUCCAGGAAAAGCCUCUAAGCAUCAGGUAACAUCAAAUCGUACCCCAAACCGACACAGGUGGUCAGGUAGAGAAUACCAAGGCGCUUGAGAGAACUCGGGUGAAGGAACUAGGCAAAAUGGUGCCGUAACUUCGGGAGAAGGCACGCUGAUAUGUAGGUGAAGUCCCUCGCGGAUGGAGCUGAAAUCAGUCGAAGAUACCAGCUGGCUGCAACUGUUUAUUAAAAACACAGCACUGUGCAAACACGAAAGUGGACGUAUACGGUGUGACGCCUGCCCGGUGCCGGAAGGUUAAUUGAUGGGGUCAGCGCAAGCGAAGCUCUUGAUCGAAGCCCCGGUAAACGGCGGCCGUAACUAUAACGGUCCUAAGGUAGCGAAAUUCCUUGUCGGGUAAGUUCCGACCUGCACGAAUGGCGUAAUGAUGGCCAGGCUGUCUCCACCCGAGACUCAGUGAAAUUGAACUCGCUGUGAAGAUGCAGUGUACCCGCGGCAAGACGGAAAGACCCCGUGAACCUUUACUAUAGCUUGACACUGAACAUUGAGCCUUGAUGUGUAGGAUAGGUGGGAGGCUUUGAAGUGUGGACGCCAGUCUGCAUGGAGCCGACCUUGAAAUACCACCCUUUAAUGUUUGAUGUUCUAACGUGGACCCGUGAUCCGGGUUGCGGACAGUGUCUGGUGGGUAGUUUGACUGGGGCGGUCUCCUCCUAAAGAGUAACGGAGGAGCACGAAGGUUGGCUAAUCCUGGUCGGACAUCAGGAGGUUAGUGCAAUGGCAUAAGCCAGCUUGACUGCGAGCGUGACGGCGCGAGCAGGUGCGAAAGCAGGUCAUAGUGAUCCGGUGGUUCUGAAUGGAAGGGCCAUCGCUCAACGGAUAAAAGGUACUCCGGGGAUAACAGGCUGAUACCGCCCAAGAGUUCAUAUCGACGGCGGUGUUUGGCACCUCGAUGUCGGCUCAUCACAUCCUGGGGCUGAAGUAGGUCCCAAGGGUAUGGCUGUUCGCCAUUUAAAGUGGUACGCGAGCUGGGUUUAGAACGUCGUGAGACAGUUCGGUCCCUAUCUGCCGUGGGCGCUGGAGAACUGAGGGGGGCUGCUCCUAGUACGAGAGGACCGGAGUGGACGCAUCACUGGUGUUCGGGUUGUCAUGCCAAUGGCACUGCCCGGUAGCUAAAUGCGGAAGAGAUAAGUGCUGAAAGCAUCUAAGCACGAAACUUGCCCCGAGAUGAGUUCUCCCUGACUCCUUGAGAGUCCUGAAGGAACGUUGAAGACGACGACGUUGAUAGGCCGGGUGUGUAAGCGCAGCGAUGCGUUGAGCUAACCGGUACUAAUGAACCGUGAGGCUUAACCUUACAACGCCGAAGCUGUU
rnacentral:rRNA from 1 species